GACGAACGCUGGCGGCGUGCUUAACACAUGCAAGUCGAGCGGAAAGGCCACUUCGGUGGUACUCGAGCGGCGAACGGGUGAGUAACACGUGAGUAAUCUGCCCCUCACUUUGGGAUAGCCACCGGAAACGGUGAUUAAUACCGGAUAUGACCAUAUGUCGCAUGGCGUGUGGUGGAAAGUUUUUCGGUGAGGGAUGUGCUCGCGGCCUAUCAGCUUGAUGGUGAGGUAAUGGCUCACCAUGGCUUCGACGGGUAGCCGGCCUGAGAGGGUGACCGGUCACACUGGGACUGAGACACGGACCAGACUCCUACGGGAGGCAGCAGUGGGGAAUAUUGGACAAUGGGCGGAAGCCUGAUCCAGCAACGCCGCGUGAGGGAUGACGGCCUUCGGGUUGUAAACCUCUUUCAGUACCGACGAAGCGCAAGUGACGGUAGGUACAGAAGAAGCACCGGCCAACUACGUG
rnacentral:rRNA from 1 species